GGGGUUUAAACUCUCCUGACACUAACCCUUAUGGAACUCCAUAAACUCAAGGCAGAUUUUGCUUUUUUACAGGAAACCCACUUCCGCAAAGACCCGGCCCUCACACUGCAUAACCGUAAAUUCCCUAACUCAUAUUUUAGUAACUUCACAGAGGCCAAGACACGGGGAGUAGCAAUCUUAAUAGCGGCACAUGUCCCGUUCACAUUUGUGAAACAUGAAAACUUCGACCAUGGCAGAAUCGUGAUGGUUAAAGGACUUUUAGGUCACAAUAUGGUGACAUUUGUAAAUCUAUAUUUACCAAACAAACAACAAUGCAAAGCACUAGGGCGCUACAUACGUGCAAUAGACAAUUUUGCAGAAGGUAUUUUAAUCAUGGGGGUGACCUUAACAUCUCUCUUGAUUCAAUGCUAGACACCACCUCAGUUACAAGCACAUAUCAAGCAUCAGCACGACAACAGAUAUAUCACAUUCUUGAC